rfam:Ciona savignyi cont_31247, whole genome shotgun sequence.
GCCCCGGUGGCCUAAUGGAUAAGGCAUUGGCCUCCUAAGCCAAGGGUUGUGGGUUCGAGUCCCACCCGGGGUG